AGAUGCAGCCCCAGCCCACUGUCCUCUGAUCCAAGGAGAGUCAUACCAUCUGGGACUGUUUUCCAAAGUCAGAAGGUUAGAAAUAUUCCAACCAGUACCCCUGGGUCAGAGUGACUGAAGAACUCAACUCCCCCAGACACUCUAAAAACCCUCUUGGAAGAUCUUCCCACCACAUGUACACCCCUCUUAACAGCUCUCUGGGAUCUAAGUAUUUGGCCUUUUAACUGUACCGAAAGUGUGAAAGAUGAGGAAAACAACACUCAGGGCGAAGAAAUGACCUUACCAAGUUGAUGCAACUGAUAAAUAUGGGAGUCAGGAC